GACGAACGCUGGCGGCGUGCUUAACACAUGCAAGUCGAACGGAAAGGCCCUGCUUUUGUGGGGUGCUCGAGUGGCGAACGGGUGAGUAACACGUGAGUAACCUGCUCUUGACUUUGGGAUAACUUCAGGAAACUGGGGCUAAUACCGGAUAGGAGCUCCUGCUGCAUGGUGGGGGUUGGAAAGUUUCGGCGGUUGGGGAUGGACUCGCGGCUUAUCAGCUUGUUGGUGGGGUAGUGGCUUACCAAGGCUUUGACGGGUAGCCGGCCUGAGAGGGUGACCGGCCACAUUGGGACUGAGAUACGGCCCAGACUCCUACGGGAGGCAGCAGUGGGAAAUAUUGCACAAUGGGCGGAAGCCUGAUGCAGCAACGCCGCGUGCGGGAUGACGGCCUUCGGGUUGUAAACCGCUUUCGCCUGUGACGAAGCGUGAGUGACGGUAAUGGGUAAAGAAGCACCGGCUAACUACGUG
rnacentral:rRNA from 1 species